rnacentral:tRNA from 1 species
GGAGGGGUCGCAUAGUGGUCUAGUGCACACGCUUGGAAAGCGUGCAACCCGAAAGGGUUCGGGAGUUCGAAUCUCCCCCCCUCCG